GAGGACUCAGCUACUGGGGAAGCCUAGGUCAGAAGAAGUGUUUCUUUAUUUACUUAACAGUUGUUAAGUGAAUUUACAAGUGUGUUUUUGAUAACAAGACAUCAGAAAUUGGUCUGAUGCCCCAAUGUUGUAUGCAUUUUUUCUCAGGAAAUAGUUGCCCUGUCAGAGAAGGCACUCUCAAAACUGGAGAAGAAAGGGCUUAUAAUGCACGACCCCUCAUAGAAGAUUUUUUUUUAAUAAAAAAUUUCUCUCUUCGCCCUGUCAAUUAUGAACAGGAGGCGAAGCUGGCCGUCUUUUACAGAACUUUGGAAUUUAUUUGCAAAAGGUUGAACGGAUAUUGUAUUUUGCUGAAAACAUUAAAAGUUGUACAAAUAAAUAGGAAAACGAGUUGCAACGAUGAAGUCUUUUUCAACAGGUGAUUUUGCACGGCUCAAACCCAAUCCAUGGAAUACAGCGAAAAGGGGGAAAAGGAUGAAUUUGUUUUUAAAGGUUUUUGAACCACCAGGUAGCUGGAAAGAGGGCGUGUAGGUACAGAUUUAGGCAGAAAAUAGAUAGAUAGAUAGAUAGAUAGAUA